GCUUGCUCUUGCUAGAUAUCGCCAAGUUCUUUGGCAAGGAAGGGUUUCAAACUCACAGUUCACAGAUGAGGAGUUGAGAAGUCAGGGCCAUUGCCCGUUGACUUCUGAAGAGAUUAGAUUAUUGCUCGCAGCUUUAGGUUUCAGCACUAGUACUUGGCUCUAUCUUGCUUCACACAAGUUUAGUCUUGUACCUUCAAAAAUUAGGAAGUUUUACGUAAUCUUUUGGUGCUAAUAAGUUGGACAUUCAUGUGGUCGAUCACAUUCCUUGGGGAAACAGAUCUUUUAUUUCCUAUGAGAAUUUGACAGUAGAAGAAAUUUUCUUUUCAGGUUUAUGGUGUAGAAGCAAGGAUCUCUACCUUGAAGCAAUCAUUCCCCUUAAUGGAAGACAAGAAGGGCCUGGCCUCUGCAGAGGAACUGGCUGAAGUUGAAGGCUAGGCUUCUCUACUGGCUGCAGUUGACUAUUAUGUGAACUUGCAGAGUGACAUCUUUAUAUCUGCAUCAACAGGAAACAUGCAUAAUGCUUUGGUGGGAUACAGAACUUACCUGAACCUGAAGACCACAAGACCAAACAUGGUGCUGCUGGGCCCACUUUUGCCGAGCAAGAGCAUGGAGUGGUCAGAGUUUCAGCUUGCAGUUUUUAAUGGGCAUUAAAGUAGACAAGGGCAAAGUAGAAUGAGAAAGGAGAAGCAGUCAAUAUAUACAUACAUACCCUGUUCCUGAUUGCAUGUGCCAUUUAUAACUGGGAUGGAUGCAGGAGUUUUAAAAUGCAAUUUUAUGCGUAUUUAUCUGCAAGCACUACACUUUGUUCUGACCAUAGCUAGUGUCUAGAAUACUUGGGUUUUGCAUUUUGUUUGAAUUUGUGAUUAUUGAUGCA